GACGAACGCUGGCGGCGUGCUUAACACAUGCAAGUCGAACGAAGUGGCGAACGGGUGAGUAACGCGUAAUCAACCUGCCCUUCAGAGGGGGACAACAGUUGGAAACGACUGCUAAUCCCGCAUACUGAAGGAGGGGAUUGCGUCUGAUUAGCUAGUUGGAGGGGUAACGGCCCACCAAGGCGAUGAGCAGUAGCCGGGAUGGGAGGUUGAACGGCCAAAGUUGGAAGUAGACACGGCCCAGACGCAGAAGGGAGGCAGCAGUGGGGACUCGUCAGAAAUGGACGAAAGGCUGACGGAGCAACGCCGCGUGAGUGAUGACGGCCUUCGGGUUGUAAAGCUCUGUUAAUCGGGACGCGGUACCGGAAUAGAAAGCCACGGCUAACUACGUGCCAGCCGCCGCGGUAAUAC
rnacentral:rRNA from 1 species